rnacentral:rRNA from 1 species
CCUUCGGGGUUAGUGGCGCACGGGUGCGUAACGCGUGGGAACCUGCCUUUUGGUUCGGAAUAACAGUGAGAAAUUACUGCUAAUACCGGAUAAUGUCUUCGGACCAAAGAUUUAUCGCCAUUAGAUGGGCCCGCGUAAGAUUAGCUAGUUGGUGGGGUAAAGGCCUACCAAGGCGACGAUCUUUAGCUGGUCUGAGAGGAUGAUCAGCCACACUGGGACUGAGACACGGCCCAGACUCCUACGGGAGGCAGCAGUGGGGAAUAUUGGACAAUGGGCGAAAGCCUGAUCCAGCAAUGCCGCGUGAGUGAUGAAGGCCUUAGGGUUGUAAAGCUCUUUUACCCGAGAUGAUAAUGACAGUAUCGGGAGAAUAAGCUCCGGCUAACUCCGUGCCAGCAGCCGCGGUAAUACGGAGGGAGCUAGCGUUGUUCGGAAUUACUGGGCGUAAAGCGCACGUAGGCGGCUUUUUAAGUCAGAGGUGAAAUCCCGGGGCUCAACCCCGGAACUGCCUUUGAAACUGGAAAGCUAGAAUCUUGGAGAGGCGAGUGGAAUUCCGAGUGUAGAGGUGAAAUUCGUAGAUAUUCGGAAGAACACCAGUGGCGAAGGCGACUCGCUGGACAAGUAUUGACGCUGAAGUGCGAAAGCGUGGGGAGCAAACAGGAUUAGAUA